rnacentral:lncRNA from 1 species
GGACCUCCUACUAGUGUGGUAUGAAAUGGUCACACAGAACGUGGUUUUGGUGAGGGCAAAACUUCCUGCCAGCCUGAUAUCUAACUGUGCUCCUUUGGAAAGAGGAGUGCACAGCGAAAGAAAAGGCACCCCGGAGCACCCUCGCUUCUACAGCAGAAUUCAUACAGUAGCAGGGACUACAAACCAACUGGCAAGACAUGGAUUGCAAGAUCAGCUCAGAAGAGAGAGAGGAUGCUGACUUUGAAACCCGUUCUAACAAGCAUGCAUGUGCACACACACACUGCAACAUCAUCAUCAAUCAUCAUCAUCAUCUAAUGUUGUAAGGUUUCCACCAGUAUGAAUUUGGAAGAAGAAGUGUAGACACAGAAGUGGACUGGUGACCAGAGUCCAGCCUUUUCUUCAGAAUCAUUAUCCACAGUCUGGCCAUGGGACCUAAGCCUGAAUGUGCCUAUGUGAAGGUGCUGAGCAGGAGCACAGAGGCAAAAGGAUGCUCUGAAUCCUGAUGCACCCAGUUCAAAGCAAAUGAAUCAGGGAGAGAUUUGAAGAACGCUGUCUCCACCCCAAGGCAUUUCCAUCCUUUUAUUGCUCUCCCAACUUUAUGGUUACUCUGAGCACUGCAGCUUAUUUAGCUACUUCCCUGGGUAGGGCAGAUAUUUCAACAGAUGUGAGCUAUGCCAACUAUCACCUACAGGGAAGGAGAUUAUAAAGGAAAGAACAUUUGAGAGGAAUUAACAAAAAGCAAAUAAAAUGGCACGUCAAAAAGGAGAGCCUCACCGAGAGGGUUCCCCCACCCCCCCACCCCCCACCCCCAAGGGAAGUUGGGACAGGAGAAUGGAUCAAGUGGCGCUCUCAAGGUUUCUGAAGCCGUUUCCUGCACUAAUGUGUAUCUGCUCAUUUUUAGAUCCUAGAACAGAGAACUAGGGGACAUGGGAAACCUAAAAUAAAAGGAUUGUUGCAUCCA